GUGUCAGCCGCCGCGGUAACACGUAGGCACCAAGCGUUGUCCGGAUUUAUUGGGCGUAAAGAGCUCGUAGGCGGUUCAGUAAGUCGGGUGUGAAAACUCUGGGCUUAACCCAGAGCCGCCACCCGAUACUGCUGUGACUUGAGUUCGGUAGGGGAGCAGGGAAUUCCUAGUGUAGCGGUGAAAUGCGCAGAUAUUAGGAGGAACACCGGUGGCGAAGGCGCUGCUCUGGGCCGAUACUGACGCUGAGGAGCGAAAGCGUGGGUAGCAAACAGGAUUAGAAACCCCCGUAGUCC
rnacentral:rRNA from 1 species